CUGCUCAGAUUGAACGCUGGCGGCAGGCCUAACACAUGCAAGUCGAGCGGUAGAGAGAAGCUUGCUUCUCUUGAGAGCGGCGGACGGGUGAGUAAUGCCUAGGAAUCUGCCUGGUAGUGGGGGAUAACGUUCGGAAACGGACGCUAAUACCGCAUACGUCCUACGGGAGAAAGCAGGGGACCUUCGGGCCUUGCGCUAUCAGAUGAGCCUAGGUCGGAUUAGCUAGUUGGUGGGGUAAUGGCUCACCAAGGCGACGAUCCGUAACUGGUCUGAGAGGAUGAUCAGUCACACUGGAACUGAGACACGGUCCAGACUCCUACGGGAGGCAGCAGUGGGGAAUAUUGGACAAUGGGCGAAAGCCUGAUCCAGCCAUGCCGCGUGUGUGAAGAAGGUCUUCGGAUUGUAAAGCACUUUAAGUUGGGAGGAAGGGCAGUUACCUAAUACGUGAUUGUUUUGACGUUACCGACAGAAUAAGCACCGGCUAA
rnacentral:rRNA from 1 species